GUGGGGAAUAUUGGACAAUGGGCGAAAGCCUGAUCCAGCCAUGCCGCGUGUGUGAAGAAGGUCUUCGGAUUGUAAAGCACUUUAAGUUGGGAGGAAGGGCAGUAAGUUAAUACCUUGCUGUUUUGACGUUACCGACAGAAUAAGCACCGGCUAACUUCGUGCCAGCAGCCGCGGUAAUACGAAGGGUGCAAGCGUUAAUCGGAAUUACUGGGCGUAAAGCGCGCGUAGGUGGUUUUGUAAGUUGGAGGUGAAAUCCCCGGGCUCAACCUGGGAACUGCCACUAAAACUGGAUGACUAGAGUACGGUAGAGGGUAGUGGAAUUUCCUGUGUAGCGGUGAAAUGCGUAGAUAUAGGAAGGAACACCAGUGGCGAAGGCGACCACCUGGACUGAUACUGACACUGAGGUGCGAAAGCGUGGGGAGCAAACAGGAUUAGAUACCCGGGUAGUCC
rnacentral:rRNA from 1 species